GACGAACGCUGGCGGCGUGCCUAAUACAUGCAAGUCGUGCGGACCUUUUAAAAGCUUGCUUUUAAAAGGUUAGCGGCGGACGGGUGAGUAACACGUGGGCAACCUGCCUGUAAGACCGGGAUAACGCCGGGAAACCGGGGCUAAUACCGGAUAGUUUUUUCCUCCGCAUGGAGGAAAAAGGAAAGACGGCUUCGGCUGUCACUUACAGAUGGGCCCGCGGCGCAUUAGCUUGUUGGUGGGGUAACGGCUCACCAAGGCAACGAUGCGUAGCCGACCUGAGAGGGUGAUCGGCCACAUUGGGACUGAGACACGGCCCAAACUCCUACGGGAGGCAGCAGUAGGGAAUCUUCCGCAAUGGACGAAAGUCUGACGGAGCAACGCCGCGUGAGUGAAGAAGGCCUUCGGGUCGUAAAACUCUGUUGCCGGGGAAGAACAAGUGCCGU
rnacentral:rRNA from 1 species